GAUGAACGCUGGCGGCGUGCCUAAUACAUGCAAGUAGAACGCUGAAGGAAGGAGCUUGCUCUUUCCGGAUGAGUUGCGAACGGGUGAGUAACGCGUAGGUAACCUGCCUGGUAGCGGGGGAUAACUAUUGGAAACGAUAGCUAAUACCGCAUAACAGUAGAUAUUGCAUGAUAUCUGCUUGAAAGGGGCAAUUGCUCCACUACCAGAUGGACCUGCGUUGUAUUAGCUAGUUGGUGAGGUAACGGCUCACCAAGGCGACGAUACAUAGCCGACCCGAGAGGGUGAUCGGCCACACUGGGACUGAGACACGGCCCAGACUCCUACGGGAGGCAGCAGUAGGGAAUCUUCGGCAAUGGACGGAAGUCUGACCGAGCAACGCCGCGUGAGUGAAGAAGGUUUUCGGAUCGUAAAGCUCUGUUGUAAGAGAAGAACGAGUGUGAGAGUGGAAAGUUCACACUGUGACGGUAUCUUACCAGAAAGGGACGGCUAACUACGUGCCAGCAGCCGCGGUAAUACGUAGGUCCCGAGCGUUAUCCGGAUUUAUUGGGCGUAAAGCGAGCGCAGGCGGUUAGAUAAGUCUGAAGUUAAAGGCUGUGGCUUAACCAUAGUACGCUUUGGAAACUGUUUAACUUGAGUGCAAGAGGGGAGAGUGGAAUUCCAUGUGUAGCGGUGAAAUGCGUAGAUAUAUGGAGGAACACCGGUGGCGAAAGCGGCUCUCUGGCUUGUAACUGACGCUGAGGCUCGAAAGCGUGGGGAGCAAACAGG
rnacentral:rRNA from 1 species